GAAAUGCUCUGCGCUGCGGACGAAUAUAAACCGGAGCCAGACGUCCUGUCAUAUCACUCGAGAUGGCUGUCUCUACAAGAACCGUUCUCCUUCUCUGCUUGGCCUUUGCAGUUGUGGCGGCGGUGUCCCAGGAGUCGGCUGACGUGCCACAGUCAGCGGUCCCUAGCGGAGUUUCCGCCAGCAACCAGGAGCCGGUGCAGCCGGUGGCUGCUGGGGAGCAGGCGCUAGAAGACCGCCGACGGUGGAUAUUCUUGGACUUCGCCGGUUGAGCACACUGCUGCGAGAUUCAGGAAAUAGAAAGCUCUUCUGUGUCUUAAACGUUUCAAUUUCUUGUACAGUUCAAACGUUUAACUCUGUUCCUGUUUCUAUAUCAAGAUCAUCCUUUUUUCUUUUUCUUUUUUUUUUCUUUUCAAAAGUUCAAAUGAACAUGCGUUACAUGAAAUGAAUAAAUUUUUCCCAUUACUAAA